CUACGGGCGGCUGCAGUGAGGAAUAUUGCACAAUGGGGGGAACCCUGGUGCAGCAACGCCGCGUGGAGGAUGACGCAUUUCGGUGUGUAAACUCCUUUUAUAUGUCAAGAAAAUGACGGUAGCAUAUGAAUAAGCACCGGCUAACUCCGUGCCAGCAGCCGCGGUAAUACGGAGGGUGCAAGCGUUACUCGGAAUCACUGGGCGUAAAGGACGCGUAGGCGGGUUGGAAAGUCAGGUGUGAAAUCCUACAGCUUAACUGUAGAACUGCACUUGAAACUUCCAAUCUAGAGUAUGGGAGGGGGAGAUGGAAUUAGUGGUGUAGGGGUAAAAUCCGUAGAUAUCACUAGGAAUACCUAAAGCGAAGGCGAUCUCCUGGAACAUUACUGACGCUAAGGCGUGAAAGCGUGGGGAGCAAACAGGAUUAGAUACCCUCGUAGUC
rnacentral:rRNA from 1 species